rnacentral:rRNA from 1 species
GACGAACGCUGGCGGCGUGCCUAAUACAUGCAAGUUGAGCGCUGAAGGUUGGUACUUGUACCGACUGGAUGAGCAGCGAACGGGUGAGUAACGCGUGGGGAAUCUGCCUUUGAGCGGGGGACAACAUUUGGAAACGAAUGCUAAUACCGCAUAAAAACUUUAAACACAAGUUUUAAGUUUGAAAGAUGCAAUUGCAUCACUCAAAGAUGAUCCCGGGUUGUAUUAGCUAGUUGGUGAGGUAAAGGCUCACCAAGGCGAUGAUACAUAGCCGACCGGAGAGGGUGAUCGGCCACAUUGGGACUGGAACACGGACCAAACUCCUACGGGAGGCAGCAGUAGGGAAUCUUCGGCAAUGGACGAAAGUCUGACCGAGCAACGCCGCGUGAGUGAAGAAGGUUUUCGGAUCGUAAAACUCUGUUGGUAGAGAAGAACGUUGGUGAGAGUGGAAAGCUCAUCAAGUGACGGUAACUACCCAGAAAGGGACGGCUAACUACGUGCCAGCAGCCGCGGUAA